GCGCGCCCGGUUGAACGUCAUGUUUUCGCGCGAAAAUUUUUGACAGAUGUCAUUUUCGUUCGGUAAAAUAAAUAUAAUAAAGUUGGUGCAUUAAAAAAAGAUAUCUACUGCAGAUAUUCAAAAUCCAUAUUGAAGGGGCUCUGCAGAUUGCCCAAGUACUCGCCGAUCAUCUGCUUGCUCAGCCCCUUCCUGGUGAUGAGGAACCGGGCGACACCUCGCGGCGAAUUCUCUAGAAAGCCUCGCGAGAUCAGUGUGACCUUGAGGGGCUGCGGCGCGUGGUCGUGCGCGGGGCGGCAGCAGGCGGCGGGCGGCGCGUCAUAGUAGGGCGGCGCGUCCUGCCGCUUCCACACCGCGUAGCGCUCGCCCUCGUACAGCGAGCCCGACGCGGCG